rnacentral:rRNA from 1 species
UACGGGGGGGGUAAGCGUUGUUCGGAAUUACUGGGCGUAAAGGGCUCGUAGGCGGCCAACUAAGUCAGACGUGAAAUCCCUCAGCUUAACUGGGGAACUGCGUCUGAUACUGGAUGGCUUGGAUUCGGGAGAGGAAUGCGGAAUUCCAGGUGUAGCGGUGAAAUGCGUAGAUAUCGAGAGGAACACCUGCGGCGAAGGCGGGUUGCUGGGCCGACACUGACGCUGAGGAGCGAAAGCGUGGGGAGCGAACAGG